CUCGUCCUCCGGGGAUGGUGGGGGACACUGUUGGGACCGCCUCUGCUAAAGAGGAGGAAGGAAUGGGCAACGGUAGGUCAGCAUGCCCCGAAUUAUCUGGGCUACACGCGGGCUACAAUGGGUGGGACAAUGGGUAUCGACACCGAAAGGUGAAGGCAAUCUCCUAAACCCAUCCGUAGUUCGGAUUGUGGGCUGCAACUCGCCCACAUGAAGCUGGAAUCUGUAGUAAUCGUGUCUCAAAAUGGCACGGUGAAUAUGUCCCUGCUCCUU
rnacentral:rRNA from 1 species